AACGCAGCGACCUUACUCGUGAGCGUUUCACAGCAGGCAAUUCGUUUUGAAUGAAAUAUUCUAAUCAGGGUCGGACAAAGCAAACUUAUUAGCCAAUGAAAGCUCCAGUGUGCUGCCAGGUUUUGCGACAAAAACAGUAAUUAACGCAGCUAAAAAAAUUAAAUCAAUAAAACCGUAGCUAUUAUGAUAUAAGCUAGCUGGUUAAGUGCAUUAACCGUGUAGAACGUGAUGUUUGUGCCGGGCUGGACUGGGUUCGAGCUGACAGGUAAACUCACGUAACCACUCUUUACAACCACAGUGAGCUGAAGAGCAUCUCAGAACGCACAACACGGCCGAACAUUAAGGCUGAUGCCCAACAGAAUCCCACAAGGUUCAAUGAAACUGGACAGCUGAGGAUUGUAAAGCGACCAGGUUUAAGCUGUUAAAAGGUAACAAGCCUCACUGAAGGAUACAGUCCACGUCCACACACCACACAGCUCCGGUGUGG